UGUGUAUAUGAAGUCUGUCUUUGGAUUUCUUAGUUAAUUUCUCAAUGUACCAUAUUUGAACAGGUUAGGGAGGACACAGUUUCCAAGAGUAACAUCAAAGAGAGUCAGCCACCAUCCCUGUCAGAACCUGUUCUGUCUACUUGUUCCUCAGCAAGUGAUCAGGUUAGGGAGGACACAGUUUCCAGGAGUAACAUCAAAGAGAGUCAGCCACCAUCCCUGUCAGAACCUGUUCUUUCUACUUGUUCCUCAGCAAGUGAUCAGAGAACUGGAAAGAACACAAUAUCAGAAAACAGUGCUCAAGAGAACGAUCAGCUGUUGCAAUCAGGACCCGUUCUGUCUGCUUGUUCCUCAGCAAGUGAUCAAGUAAGUCUCUUG
ensembl:lncRNA